AGUGAACGCUGGCGGUAGGCCUAACACAUGCAAGUCGAACGGCAGCACAGUAAGAGCUUGCUCUUACGGGUGGCGAGUGGCGGACGGGUGAGGAAUACAUCGGAAUCUACUUUUUCGUGGGGGAUAACGUAGGGAAACUUACGCUAAUACCGCAUACGACCUACGGGUGAAAGCAGGGGAUCUUCGGACCUUGCGCGAUUGAAUGAGCCGAUAUCGGUUUAGCUAGUUGGCGGGGUAAAGGCCCACCAAGGCGACGAUCCGUAGCUGGUCUGAGAGGAUGAUCAGCCACACUGGAACUGAGACACGGUCCAGACUCCUACGGGAGGCAGCAGUGGGGAAUAUUGGACAAUGGGCGCAAGCCUGAUCCAGCCAUACCGCGUGGGUGAAGAAGGCCUUCGGGUUGUAAAGCCCUUUUGUUGGGAAAGAAAAGCAGCAGGUUAAUACCCCGCUGUUCUGACGGUACCCAAAGAAUAAGCACCGGCUAACUUCGUG
rnacentral:rRNA from 1 species